CCAGUACAACGAUGCAUAAGUAAGAGGUCCAGAAGGGUUUAGAGACAUUGGCUGUCUUUAGCAAAGUGACUUUACACGUUGCUUAACACCUUCCUAGAGGACCCUGAAAUUUGAAGUUGCACUGAAAAAUAUUCUGCCAAUCGAGGUCUCUUAACCGAAAGAUGACCAACUCUUGGUUAAUUUAAUAGUAUGGAGUAACAUGACAGAUCAUUCACGAGGUGAAGAAUUCUUUUUAAUCAACGCAUAGGCAUCACUAUAGAUGGCCACCAAAUUUGA
rnacentral:misc_RNA from 1 species